UUCCCUAGGUGCUAAGUAGUGCACUCGAUUAUGCACUUCAAUGUAUUUGGAUUUCAACCUGAACGCUUUCUGUAUUUUUUUUAAAUAGAUCGUUGCACUUCGCUACGUGGGAUUCAUUAUCAUCAUCAUCAUCAUCAUUAUUCCUGACUCAUUCAUUUUAGUAUUUAUAUUGAUAUAUAUAUUUUUUAAUGAUUGUCGCAAAUAUUUUAAUCCGGCGUUCCGGCUGGCACCUUCUUUUGGGGUCCUUAUAGUUUAAAGACUCCUCGAUCCGUACCGGAAACAUGAUUUGUACUUCGCAUGUGCGGAAAUGCGUCUACUUCUUGUUUGAAAUGUGACAAAAAACGAUUUAAGGCAGUUUAUAAUAAUGUUAUAUUAUAAGACUACUAAUGAUUAUAUGUUACAUACAGCGGCAACAAUUUCGCGCACGCGCAGAACAGAACCCGAGAUUCCGCACAUGCGCAGUAUAAAUCAUGUGACACUCACUUCCGCUAUUUAAAGCGCGCCCGCGUGGUGGAGAGCCGCGUGUGCGCGUGCAGAACGAGCAGGCUCCUUCUCAGUUGGAGGUCUGAUCAUUCACACCACACCAGGAGGAAGCUGGAGGACAUCUUCCCCACACACACACACACACUUUGAUGUGAGUAAUGAGAGAUGAGAUGUUUCUGGAAUGUUCUGGAGACUGGCCUUAGUGUUGCCCGUUCCUCCCUGUCUGUGGUGAACGCGGUGUCAGAAAAGGCAGACAGUAAAAUCAUCUCCUGAUGUGGAGCAAAGCCAGGAACUCUCACUGACUCCUGACUCCUCAAUCUCGAGAGGAACACUUCAUCCCUCAGGGGUCUGGACAUCCUCAACAUGCAAACAUUAGUGGUGAAUAUUUUUCUUUCUCUCUCUCUCAUUGCAGGUCGAUGAUGAUGAUGAUGAUGAUGAUGAUGGAAAUCAUGACUGCUGCAUUGAAACGGUUGUUUAAUGAGGAGUGCGGUUCAUGAUGUGUCAUGUUACAGGUUUGGUCACCAAUAAUUUCCCAAAAACAAUUCAGCACCAUCUGUGAUUCCUAAUAAGGAAUACACUACAUUGCCAAAAGUAUUGGGACACCCCUCCAAAUCAUUGAGUUCAGGGGUUGGACUCGGCCCCUUAGUUCCAGUGAAAGGAACUCUUAAUGCUUCAGCUUCAUACCAAGACAUUUUGGACAGUUUCAUGCUCUUUGUGGGAACAGUUUGGGGAUGACCCCUUCCUGUUCCAACAUGACUGCACACCAGUGACCAAAGCAAGGUCCAUAAAGACAUGGAUGAGUGAGUUUGGUGUGGAGGAACUUGACUGGCCUGCACAGAGUCCUGACCUCAGCCUUUGGGAUGAAUUGGAGUGGAGACUUGUCCUGUUGGAACAGGAAGGGGUCAUCCCCAAACUGUUCCCACAAAGAGCAUGAAACUGUCCAAAAUGUCUUGGUAUGAAGCUGAAGCAUUAAGAGUUCCUUUCACUGGAACUAAGGGGCCGAGUCCAACCCCUGAACUCAAUGAUUUGGAGGGGUGUCCCAAUACUUGGUCUGCUGUUAGAGGAGCUUCACCUCCCCAAGUCUCUCCCAGAUUUCAGCACAGACUUUACUGGGGUAUGGUGUGGUGGUGAUGAUGAUGAUGAUGAUGAUGACUGAGGUAUUUCCUAAAACCCAGUCAGGUUUGGUUUAUUCAUGAAGUGAUAAGUACACAGAUGAGUUUACUCUCUCUUUGUCUUCAAUCCAACUUUUUAGAGCUUUGUCUAAUAAAAAUUCUCUCAUUA